ensembl:lncRNA
UUUGCAUCAUUUUGUAAAGAAUUGUAAUCAUCAUCAUUUUGUAAUACUGUGCUCAUGAUGUAACUCUCACUGUUCGUAGGCCACAGUGUAUGACACUCAAGCUGGUGAGCUGUCUGGAGAGAGAGGAACAUCCACAGCAUUCAGUGGUGAAGGUGCGCCUCGCCUCUCUUCUGUUCAUACUUUAGCAAACAGGCCCUGUUUCCACCUGCUAUUAAAAAGGGAUAGUUCACCCAAAAAUGAAAAUUCUGUCAUUAUUUACUCACCCUCAAGUUGUCAAUGCGGACCAGAAACUGUACAACUGAACUACUUGAGAGUGAGUAAAUGAUAGUAGAAUUGACCAUUUUUGGGUGAACUAUCCCUUAAAGAUACAUUUUGGUUAAUCAGCUUUAACGUGCAUUUCAAUUGAUCACCUAUGUAAAGACAUCCUUUUUUUACGUAACAUCCUACAUCAUGGGAGUGCCAAGUGUGUAUGAUCACUAUUAAAUUACCAAACUAUUUGUAUAUGUGUACAUUUUAUAUAUCCUCUCUCUCAGUGUCAAUGGACAGUGGCUCUCUGUUGAUGUCUGAGAUUGUGGAUAUUCCAGAUGACAGCUCCCCAUCUGAGGACUCCUGCCUCAUGGAAGUAGGUGUUGGUGUGAGGCCAAGGCCACGGGGGGGCAGCGAGGGAGGGGAGGGGGGAGAGUACGCCAGCCUCCGUUCUUCCACACAACAUCCUGAGGGAAUGGUGGCUCCUUCCAGAAGACGUUGUUUCAGAGGCGAGAGAUCGAACUCCUGCUCCUCCCCGAGCACGUACAACACCUCAACCUACAGGUCUCCAGUGUUGAGGCGUCAAGCUCUGUUGGCAAGUAGCUGCUCUCAGUUGGAGUUUCUAGCAGGAUCUCAACAUUCCUCUAUCCCAGAAAUCCGAGUUCGGCCCUGCACACCUUCCCGACGGGACUCCUCAUCUGCAUUUAGUAACCCACCUACUACAGCCCCAACAGGUCCUGCUCAAGACCGGCCGGACCACGCAGUACCGGUGCUCCUUCCACGGCCAGGUUUCCGUGAGCAAAUUGGACGUGAUAGAAAAGACAGCGACAGCUUCUUACCUCUCAUGAGGUCACACAGUGAACCAGGACUCAGCUCUUCAACUGACACAGGUGAUUUCAGUCUCUCAGGAGGCAAUAAAGGAGUCAGUGAGGGGGGAUCGCAGACCUCAUCAGAAACAGGGGUAUCGUCUGGAGCUGGUUUGCUGCCUCGCUCCUCUCUGGCACUCCCUGCUUCCCUGCCCAGAAAAGGCAGCAUUAAGGCUAUAAGUAGCCAUUUGCCCUCAAAACAAGUCCCAGCCACCUCGCUGCGUUUACCCAAAGACUGUGCACGCUCACUUGGAGACCUCAAGGUCACCAAAGUUUUAGUGCAACGUUUCCUGCAGAGAUCCAAACGUAACUUAGCCCCUGCAACUGAGCAUACCGGAAACUGUACUCAGGGGCCUAAAAGGAGGACAGCAGUUGAUGGAGGUCUUUCAUUAGAACAGGUACUUCGUAUAUCUCUGGGGGCCAACAGGGGGCAGCAGCAGCACGUCCACCACCACUGCCGUGGACAUCAUCACUCCCUUAGUGACAGUCGCCAUAAUGCCCGCCGCCAUGAUGACGACCCUGUAAGGGCCGGGGGAAUCCACUUGCGUAGCUGCGGAGACCUCAACUCGACAUCCGUCGCAUCACUGCGCAGAAUCCACCCAGCGUCACACGGAUCAUCAGGAGCUCUUUACUCAGAAUCUGCCCUCUGAAAUGGGGCGAGGGAUUCUGGAAUUAUUCACAUCUGGACUCAGGAGAGGGGGCAGAGAAAAUCUGAGGAAAGAAUAACAGGUUUGAGAUGAGGAAUUUAUCUUGCUGAAGGGAUGAUGUGAAGCAGAUAAAUAUGCUGUUUGAAAAACAGUAUAUAUACCAUUGGGGAAGCUUUUAGCUUUUUUUAAGCCGAACACUACACCCGAUAUAACGGAGUUUAACCCAUCAGACCCUCUGCUCUCUGUGCCUGACAAACUCUGGUCCUUUUGUUUUGUAUUUCCAUGUAUUUUUUGCUCCAUCUAGUGCUUAUUUCUCACUCACUGUUUACAUGGAUAUGGAAAGAAUGCAGCACCUCUGAUGCUGUUCCUUGUCUUCACAGCUCAUUACAAUGCACUCAUGCAACUACAAACAUACAACCAUAUGUUUGGCUGUAACUAUGUUGUGAACUUGGGGGAAUUGAAAGGAAUAAUUAAAGGAAUUAAUUAAAGGAUUUAAAUGGAUUUACGGGAAUACACAAAAAGAAAAAUAACAGUAAAAGAAGCAGGAUAAAGUAUCAAUUCAAUUUGACUUAUUUCCAAAUAGUAUGUUAAUUAAAAAUAGGUACACAUUCAUUUUUUUGUGUAUGCCUAAUACGUCUUCACAUUCAAUUAUGCAUUACUUGAAUCACACAAAUGAUUCAGCCUACAUUUUCAAUUCCAAACAGCGAAAUUUAACAAAUAAAUUUGAGUAGUUUGCAUAUCAGACAUUUAGCAUUUCUGUAUUAAAACAGUUGUCAGGUAGUAAAUGGUUAACUUCUUACAUCUUACCUCGUAUUCUUUCACUGUUAAACACUGAAGCAUCAUGCUAGAAUUUAUGUUCGGUAUCUGUGAACAGUAAAGCCUGCCUUCUUGGUUUUGAAAGGUCAUCUCAAUCAUUUUGACCCUGAUGAGAGCUGUUAGACUGUUGAGGCAGACCAGCCUGAAAUGUAAUGUUUUAAAAUGUUUUGUCAUCCUAACAACAAACAGAGCAACAUAAAGAAUAUCAAAUAUUUGGAGGGACAAUUUGGCCAUUUCUAAAUAUUGGAAUGUGGGUGUCUAUAAAGGUUACGGCCCUGCAAACAUACACAUGCAAUAAAAUGCAUGACCACACACACUCAAAUGUGGUGAUAACUCUUUUGUAGCAAGCCACUGAACGCUUUUCACUAAACACUAUUCACUAACUGACCAUCUCACAAAGUGUAACUAAUUAAUUAAAACAUCUGAGCAGCUGCAACAGCUGAGGUUGAUGCAGCAAUGCAUUCGUUGUCUUUUUUUGGAAGAAGUGCAUGUUUUUUUCUAAAAACAACUAAGAUUAUUCAAAUGGAGCUUUGAUCUUUUGCAUCUGUCUGUCUCUCAUGGCAGACUUUAGCUUCCCAGCCUGCUUAAAACUUUCCUAGAAUGCCUCUGCAUGUAUCGAGCAGGCUUGUUUUCUCUUUUUGAUGGAAUACCAAAUGCACCAACACACACAGAUACACAAAUAUGCUUGUGACAAAACUAGAUACCACUAAUGCAAAGAAAUGUUUGAGGGGACUUUGGAUUUUAUAAUACAGAAGAUUCUCUGGCAAUAAGCAUACUGUAGAUAUUGAACUAUUACAGGAAAUUGGGAACUUGUAUUGAGUGAUACCUAUGAAAACUGAAGACUCACUGGAAGUGAGACAAUGAACCAAUCCAAACUGAUAUGUUCAAGGGUUUUACAAUGUUCCGGACAGUCUGGGAAUAAUACUUUGGAAAGACAGCCAUGGACUUCUGGUGUAUCUGUUUUGUUGUAUUCAGAAAUGGAUGUACAUCUGAAGGAAUAAUUGCAGUUGUCAAUUGUCUAGAAGUGCUUUGGAAUGCAAGCUAAUGGCUUUGAAUCAGUAGCAAUGUUGCUAAAUAAUGCAUUAAUACAAUUGCUCUAUAUGUAAAUAAGUUUGAUGCACGGACCCUCACGCUCACCCACUUUCUGCAACUUUGAAGCACUGAAACCAAGUCUGAAAAAGAGCUUGAUAUUCUACCUCUUGUAUUGCAUAAACUGACAUGUUAUGGCCCAGUGAAAUAUUUUAAUUAAUUUAAGGAUUUUAUGGACUAUUUAUGAAACAACUUCUACACUGACUGAUGAAAACACUGUUAUUCUGGGAAUAUGAUGCCUAAAAAGAACAUUUAAAACAGCUCUACUUCAUGAACUUUUAAUGCAAGUUAUGUAAAAUCACAACAAUAAAUGUAUACACAUCAAAUUUAUCAAAUCAUCUAUAUCAGUUUCAUGUUCCCAGGUGUUAUCUCACCUUUUUCAAUAAUGAAAAAUAUACAUUUAGAUUUUUUUUUUCAAUGUAAAAGUCAUUGGUAAGAAGUAGUGUCUGAUAUGUGAAUAAAUUGCUCUUCUGAGUCAAAUCUUUUAAAUGAAUCGGUUCACCCCUGUUGAAGCUAGAGCUCAAUUGGGCGGAACCAGGAUUCACUAGACAGACAGAAAUUCGAUUUUUAUUAAGUAAUUUAUUAUUACCUUUUAAUUUACCCUGUGCUGAACGAAAUGUUCACAAAUCACUGAUUAAAAGUGAUUAAAAGUAUAAUGAAAGGCAGUUUUUUUUAUUAAUUGUACAGAAUCGUGCAAUCCUUACAGUAACAAAAACAAUACAAA